GCCUGGGUGGCUCAGUCGGUUGAGCAUCUGACUUUGGCUCAGGUCAUGAUCUUGUGUCCGUGGGUUCAAGCCCUGCAUCUGGCC
rnacentral:tRNA from 1 species